rnacentral:lncRNA from 12 species
AAAAGCUUUAACAAGAUGAAUGGACUUACAAUACUGUCAGAUACAGCUAAGAAAAACUUGAAAAUAACUGACAAAAAAAGAGGCCCAAGAGACAUUUAUCCAUUCAUCCUUACCACCAGAUACUGUCUGACAGCACAUCUAGUUUCUCUGAUGUUCAGUACAAGAGAUUACAUAUCUGACACUGGAUUUUUAUAGGUAAAUACAAGAAAGAGUUGCUUGCUAUAAAAUGGCCUCUUGAGAAGUUUGCAGUACCUCAGCAUCACUUUCAAGAAGAAACAAGGCCUCAAAAAUAGAUUGAAUGGUAUGAAGCAAUUAGAAGGCUAAGGUCUACAUAAAUGAUUGAGUAACUGAGAGGUAUGGAUCUGAGAUGUUGAAUUGGAGAAUGCAAUGUAAAAAAUCUAAAAGAAGACUAAUUUAUGCAAAUCUUGAAACAGCACAUGAUGUACAGAAAUACAAGAAGAAAAGGAAAUAUUUGGAAGUCUGCAUAUGAUCUAAGGAAACUUUGUACUGUGCUGGAACAUUAUGGUCAUGGUAGUGACAGUGACAACUCUCCUCUGGUCAUUCUCACAAUUCUUGUUUCUAUUUAUGUUCUCGUUCAAGAGGAAUUGAGUACUGGACCAGUGGAAAUUCAUUUGCAUAAGAACAACCUAAAUCCUCAAGAAGAAAGUGAUGAGGAGAGAUUUUGGCCUGUCAGUUAA